rnacentral:rRNA from 1 species
AGUGAACGCUGGCGGUAGGCCUAACACAUGCAAGUCGAACGGCAGCACAGUAAGAGCUUGCUCUUACGGGUGGCGAGUGGCGGACGGGUGAGGAAUACAUCGGAAUCUACUUUUUCGUGGGGGAUAACGUAGGGAAACUUACGCUAAUACCGCAUACGACCUACGGGUGAAAGCAGGGGAUCUUCGGACCUUGCGCGAUUGAAUGAGCCGAUGUCGGAUUAGCUAGUUGGCGGGGUAAAGGCCCACCGAGGCGACGAUCCGUAGCUGGUCUGAGAGGAUGAUCAGCCAAACUGGAACUGAGACACGGUCCAGCCCCCUACGGGAGGCAGCAGUGGGGAAUAUUCGCCAAUGGGCGAAAGCCUGAUCCAGCCAUACCGCGGGGGUGAAGAAGGCCUUCGGGUUGUAAAGCCCUUUUGUUGGGAAAGAAAAGCAGCAGGUUAAUACCCCGCUGUUCUGACGGUACCCAAAGAAUAAGCACCGGCUAACUUCGU